UUAAGAGAAAGUUGAUGUAAUUAAUUCGCGAUUUACAAACAAACUGAUUUUCGCUCUGACCUCUCAAGCCUCUCAAGUCCUGGAUGUUUCUUAAACAAAUAAAAUUCUUUUUUUAGCAACAUUAUCUUCUGAUUGUGACAAAUGUUUUGUCAUAGUAAUUUAAUAUUAAUUUUUUUUUAACCAUACAUUCUUUAUUAUAUUGUAUUUAGGAAAUUAAGAUUGAUGACGAUAUUACUACUUUGGUACCGCUCUUUCCAGAAACGGACUUCCAACCUGUGGAGAAUAUAGAAAAAAGAAUCUAACGAGAAAAGUAUAUGCUCUAUGCCCGCCUCCUCGACACCCUGCAUGGGAGAGCAGAAGAACUUAUUAACAAUAGUAGUGUUUUCUGAAGAGAAAAAUAAAAUGUAAUAAAAAAAAUUUAUAAUUCUA